CUCUGAUUUUUGCACUGUAAUUUUUAAAAAUGUAUAGUGUACAACAUGAUGACCACAAGUAGCACUGCUGUAUGAUACAUAGGAAAGCUGGUAAGAGAGUAAACCCUGUGCAUUCUCAUCAUGAGGAGAAAUUGUUUUCCUUUCUUCUGUAUUUUCUUUUUAUUGUAUCUGAAUGAGAAGAGAGAUAGAAGCUGAACCUCUGGAAAAAUGUGGAGUUCCUGUCCUGGCACAGUGGAAACGAAUCUGACUAGGAACCAUGAGGUUGUGGGUUCGAUCCCUGGCCUUGUUCAGUGGGUUAAGGAUCUGGCGUUGCCAUGAGCUGUGGUGUAGGAUCCCACAUUGCUAUGGCUAUGGCUGUGGCUGUGGCUAGCAGCUGUAGCUCCGAUUAGACCCCUAGCCUGGUAACCUCAUAUGCAAUCAAUGAGGCCCUAAAAAGACAAAAGACAAAACAACAACAACAACAACAACAAAAAACUCUUGCCUGCUGCUGACUGGAUGCAAUGACUUGGUGCCAAGAGCCAGCAGGAGACAGGUGCCUCUAUGCCACCAAAUCCUGGCUUGGCCUUUGUCACUAACAGGCAGUCUUCAGUAGAGGCUGAGCACUGAGCAGACAGCAGAGCCUCUGACCCGUGUAGGUCCUUUUCCCUGGAGAGGACCCCAGAAGCCUUGGGGUCAGCAGAACAUCCAUGGAGCAGGUCUUCCAAAGCUGCCAGCCCCAGAGUGUGCAUGAUGCAAGGGUAAGAAGCGGUUAGACAACAAACAAAAGGUAGGCUAGAUGGUACCAAGUACAGGUUAAUAUAUUGUAGUUUCCUACGGCUAGGAAGUCAUUUUUACACAAAGAGCGUUUCCUCCCGGGUCAAACAACACUCUUUCAAAAUGGCAAAACCUAAAAUGAGAAGGAAUAACAAUAGGAAUCACCAUCUCCUCUGAGCUAUGGUUUUCUAUGUGCAGCUGCCCAGAGCGAGUAGCUUGUAAAAAUCAACCACUGUGACGGUUCAUGCAUAGGCUCUGCUGAUUUUACAAGGAUAUAAUGAUGCAGCCGCCUCUCCAAGGGCAGGCUCCAGCCUGACAUUUGCACAGCCAGCAGAAAUAAUUUCUUGCAGGAGAUAGAAUUUCGUUGUUUAGCAGAGGUGCAUCAAAGGAAGUUGCAUCCUCAGACACACACGCUGCCUCCCAGCCCCUCACUCCCCUUGACUGCUUCCCUUUAAAUUAAUAGACAGCCAGCAAGUAAUCAAUUCCUUUUAUAUAGGAUGACAUAGGAGAUUCUAUAGGUCUCCCUGGUAGGAAUAUUUAUCAUGUGAGGCAGACAUGGGGUUUUAAAAAAUGUAUUAUUUUUUUUCUGAAUUAUCAAAGUAAAUUGUAUUUAACACAGAGAUGUUGAAAAAAUUAAAAAAUUUGAGGAGUUCCCAUUGUGGCUCAUGGGAUAAUAACCUGACGCAGUUUCCUUGAGGAUGUGGGUUUCAAACUCUGGCCUCGCUUAGUGAGCUAAGGGACCAGCGUUGCCACAAGCUGCAGGGUAGGUCUUAGAUGCCUCUUGGAUCCAGCAUGGCUGUGGCUGUGGUGUAGGCAGGCAGCUGUAGCUCCGAUUCGACCCCUAGCCUGGGAACUUCCAUAUGUGCAAGUGUAGCCACAAAAAGAAAAAAAAAAGAAAAAGUAAAAUUUGAAAAAGUACAAAAGAGUUCCCAUCAUGGCUCAGUGGAAAUGAAUCUGAUUAGCAUCCAUGAGAAUGAGGUUCAAUCCUUGGCCUUGCUCAGGGGUUAAGGAUCCAGUGUUUUCAUAAGCUGUGGUGUAGGUCGCAGAUGCAGCUUGGAUCAGGCAUUGCUGUGGCUGUGGUGUAGGCUGGCAGUUGUAGCUCUAAUUUGACCCCUAGCCUGGGAAACUCCAUGUGCCUCAGGUGCGGCC
rnacentral:lncRNA from 1 species